rnacentral:lncRNA from 1 species
UGGCAUGUGCCUGUAGUCCUAGCUACUCAGGAGGCUGAUGUGGGAGAAUCACUUGAGCCUGGGAGGCAGAGGUUGCAGUGAGCCGAAAUUGCACCACUGCACUGCAGCCUGGGCAACAGAGCCAGACCUGUCUCAAAACAACAAACAAAAAAACAAACAACAAACAAAACAAAAAACCCACAAAGAAACACUACAAAAAAAACCUUGCAGAAUUUUGUGGCUAAAUUCUACCUUAAUCUAAAAAGAAAAGGAAAAAGAGAGCAGCCUUUGGGGUUUCCCAAAUCUGUUCAAAUCCUGUCUUUGUUUUUUUUUUUUUUUUUUUUUUUGACAGAUUCUCACUCUGUUGCCCAAGCUGGA